rnacentral:lncRNA from 1 species
UGAUAUUCCACUGACAUUCCAGUGACAUCCUGGAGCCCUCCCAGUUUCCCUCAGCCAGAAAUGUCUGACUCCACUGAUUUUCCCUAAACCAAACAGGGAUAACGCAUCCCAGAGAAGGGAAAUUCCCCCUCCUCGAUCCUGCCAACCCCUCCAGCAUUCCCACAUUCCAAUCCGUGCCCCAUUCCUGCCCUCCAGAAUGGAGGCCAGCCCCUCCUCGCACAUCUGUGUCGUGGUAGGGAUUUCUCUAUGCUGGAUGAUUUAUUGAGCUCCUUCAAUCCAGUAGAAAAAAAAAAACAUUUAAAAUUCCCUGAGCCUGGAAAACCAUCAGGAUAUUGGAAUAUCAGGAUAUUGAGAUACCAGGAUUUGGCGAUACCGGGAUAUUUGUUGCCACCUUCUCACUCGGCGUUUAUGAGGAGUACGGAUUUAUUGAAAUAUAUAUUUAUAUUUAUAUAUAGAUCUUUUCCAGCCCCUUUCCCAGGGAUUUUCCCCCUCCCCCAAACCCUUUCCAAACCCGGAUCCGGGCUCAGUUUUUGUUGGGAAUUCUCUGCCUGGCCGGGACGUACGGCAGCAACGUCUGCGUGCUCUUAUCAGCCACGGUCUGGGUGCUGCUGUUCCUCAUGGCCCUGCGGAUCGGGAUCAUGCCCUGGUUUCUCGGGAGCUGCUCCCGAGGCCCCUUCCUGGCAGGAUCAUCGGGAAUGUCGGCGCUGUCGUCGGCGUCACCAUCGUCNAAUAAAACCUCCCAAUUCCUUAAUGUCAGAAUUCCCAAAUCAAACCUCCCAAUCCCAUAAUUUUCCAGCAUCCAGCAGCUCCAUGGUGUUCCUGGGGAUUCCCUUUAUCCACUGGCACAGGACCAAACCCUGGGAAUUCUGCAGGAAGAUUGGGAAUUGGGGUCACUUUUGGGGUUUAUCCCCCAAAAAAUGGGAUUUUGGAGCUGUUUCCUUUGGGAAUGGGAUGGGAUUGACCACAAGAUGUUUUUCUCUUUUUCCAGCUCUGCAGCUGCUGGAAAACACGGAGAGCAGAGAGGGUCGGGAGCAGGAGAUUGAUUGA